UACAGAGGGUGCAAGCGUUGUUCGGAAUUACUGGGCGUAAAGCGCGUGUAGGCGGUCUGGCAAGUCGGUCGUGAAAGCCCUUGGCUUAACCAAGGAACUGCGAUCGAAACUACUAGACUUGAGUAUCGGAGGGGGUGGCGGAAUUCCCGGUGUAGAGGUGAAAUUCGUAGAUAUCGGGAGGAACACCUGUGGCGAAGGCGGCCACCUGGAAGAUAACUGACGCUGAGACGCGAAAGCGUGGGGAGCAAAC
rnacentral:rRNA from 1 species